rnacentral:rRNA from 1 species
UACAGAGGGUGCAAGCGUUGUUCGGAAUUACUGGGCGUAAAGCGCGUGUAGGUGGCGAUGUAAGUCGGGUGUGAAAUCCCUCGGCUCAACCGAGGAAGUGCACUCGAUACUGUGUCGCUUGAGUGUUGGAGGGGAUGGCGGAAUUCCCGGUGUAGAGGUGAAAUUCGUAGAUAUCGAGAGGAACACCUGCGGCGAAGGCGGGUUGCUGGGCCGACACUGACGCUGAUGCGCGAAAGCCAGGGGAGCGAACGGG